AGUCUACAGACCAGUGCCAAGGAGCCAAAGAGAAGAAAUGAGAAUAACCAAGAAGGAGAAACUGAGGAUCAAGGAAGAUAAAUGAUUUGCUCACGAUUAUGCUUCGGUUAUGUGGUGGCUUUGUUGUUCAGCGUUGAUUCCAGGAUUUCUACUUGAAACUAGGCCAGAGUUCAAUCUGUGGGAGACCUCAGCAUCCCCCAACUGGGAGCUUACGGCCAGACCAGUUAACUAGAGCUUAUCAUCAGGGAUGUUCAGGGAAGAUGCCACUCAUACCUAUUGGGAGGAAAAGAACAGUGAAAGCAGUACUCCUCUGGGUAUCAGGACCUCUGAAUCCUAUAAAACCUAAAGGUGCAG